GGGAUGUGAAAGGGCACAACCACUUGGCUAAAUGGUUUGGCCACUUUUCACUAAGCAAAACAUACACGUACCAUAUGAUUCAAUAUUUACUCUCCUAGGGAUUCACCCUAAGAAAUGAAACCAUAUCUUUCCAAAAAAACUUGCAUCUAAAGGUUCAUAGUAGCCUUAUUUGCAGUAGCCUAAUGCUCUAAACAUUUCAAAUGCCCAUUUAGAAGUGAACUGAUGAAACAAAUUUAGUAUAACUAUAUAAUGGGAUACUAUUCAGCAAUACAAAGGAAUGAACUAUUGGUACAUGCAACAAUAUGCUUGAACCUCAAAAUAAUUAUGCUGAGUGAAAGAAGCCAGAUAAAAAAGGAUACAUGCUGCCUGCUUCCAUAUAUAAAAUUCUAGAAAAUGCAAAUUAAUCUAUAGGGGCAGAAAGCAGACAAUUGGUUGCCUAGGAACAGGGUGGGAUGAGAAGUGAGGCCGGAUUUACCAAGGGGCACAGAGAAGCUUUCGGGAAUGAUGGACAUGUUGGUUAUCUUGAUUGUAGCAGUAGUUUCAUGGGUGUAUACAUAUGUCAGAACUCAUCAAAUUGUGUUCUUUAAAUAUGUGCAGUUAAUUAUAUGCCAAUUAUAAUUCAAUAAAGCUUUUCAGAAAAAGAAGAAAGAUGGGGGGGAAAAUCUACUUUCUGCCAUCCUCAGGCAGCACAGGGUCAUGGCUAGAAUGUGGGCUCUGGGGGCUUCACUUAGACUGUGUGAGUUUCUAACUGAGUGACCUUGGCCUAAUCAUGUGAUCCACCUAAGCCUUGCUUUCCUCACCUGUGAAAUAGGGAUAAGAGUAAUGUUGUGAAGAUAGAUUACCUGGUAUUUGUAAAGUGCUUAAAACAGCAGCUAAGAAGGGUAAGUGUUGGUCACCACCCUUCCCCUCCCCCCCUUCCCAUCAUCAUCCUCUAUAAAGCUGCUAAUGGACACGCACAGUAGAGCUCAGCAUUCUGGUGAAUGGAUGGAGGGGAAUAGGUGAGAAGACAAGAAUUCAAGUCUAACUGGUACCCAGAAGUCCCACCACCCCUUGGUGAUGCCUUAAGGCAAACUCUAAGAGACCAGGUUUAGCCAGGUUAGAAACUGCAGGGGAAAUGUCACAAUGAAAUGCAUGAGCUUGCACAAUUCAUAUGUGCUAAUAAUUACUUUUUUAAAAAAGAAAGAAACUGCAGGGGAGAGAGAUAAGUGGAUAAAAGCUGGCGGGGUGGUGGUGGUGGGGGAAUGAAAAAUAAGGAUGACAUCUGACAGGCAGUAUGGGGACCCUUUCUGAAAUUCCCAACUUUCUAGCAAAUGCCUUGCUGUUGAAAUAAUCAAAUUGGAAAAUGGACUGUCCUCUGUCCUUUCAGCAUUCCAAGGCUUUCCAGUUAACCACCCCUCAUGGCUUAGUCUCUGCUCACCUUGGAUCUGGGGUGUCACUUGAGAAGAUCAGCACCUUCAGAGCUGGGUGACUGGAGUGAGCACUCAUUCAGUCCCUGACCCAGAUACAGCCAUAGGGCAACAGAAAUGCUGCUAGCAACGGGCUACUCAGGGUGAGGACAGGGAAAUCUACAGAGAAAAAGUGCAAGGCCUGGGUGAAAAUAUUGGACUGGUGGGGAUGGAAGGUGGGGAGAGGAGAUGGCUGCUUAGAAACUGAAGGAGCUUUUUUUCCGGAAUCCAUAAUGGGGUCACAUAAGCACAAAUUGAAAAAAUGAGGACUUAGCAAUUGGGGCCGUGGUGGGAUCCAGCUGGCCAGAAGCCUGGGGCCAGGCAAUUUCAUUCUCUAGGAGAGGUUUCUGUAGGAGCAAAACUGGGAAAAGAAAUGGAGAAAAAAAAUUAUUCAAAAUAACAUGCAGGUGAGCCAGGCCAGGGCCUGUUUCAGAGAGGGUUUGUGCCCAGGUUGAUGGUGCUGCUUGGUAGAGAGGUGUCUCAGCCUGAAAGCACAGUGAAGCUUAGCAGCUCAUGGCUCAAAAUCCAGCUCCACAGUUCUACUGGCCACAUGCCAUUUGCCCCACUCCCAUCUUUCUUAUGUGGCUCUCUGUAUAUCACCUGGGCUCUCCUUUACCUCUAGCUCCAGGAUGGAUUUGGCCAAUGGGAGGCAUGGAUGGUGGGCACAGGAAAGCAGGAGAAAAGAGAGGUUAGGGUAUUUCUUUUCUGUUCCCUCUUUCUUUGGGGUUUGAUCCUGUCUGUCACCAUGUUACUCCAUGACUCUAGGUCCACCCCUGUGGUUCCAGUUCUCACUCCUGACUUCGGUCAUAGUCUUUGCUUUCCUUGACCUGUUGGUGGUAAGAGCUUCCUGUUAGUCUCUGAGUACAUCUCCAGCUUUUGUUCCUUCUUGAACCUACCCUCAUCUCUCUGAGCAAAACCUCUUUAUCUGAACCAUAUUCAGAGGAUUCUAGUCCUUACCAGGUAGCUGCGUAGUAACCUGGGGCUAUCAACCUCGGGGCUCUGUUUUCUCAUUUAGAGUGGGGACACUGGGAGUCAGGUGAAUUCCAUGAGAUAAUGCACAAAUUAGCUACUGAUGGGAUCUCAGACAAUGUCUUAGCAGAGGGCCCUUGGAACAGUGGCACCAGGAUGCUGUAAGUCUCCUAAUCUCCUCUCUCUCCUCUCUGAGUCCUCUUCACCUUAGGUAAACCCUGUGCACUCAGAUUGACGAGAAGAAGAAGGACGUCCCUCCAACUUCUGGUCAUGCAGGCUGGGGAAGGCAGGAGGGCAUUGUGCCAGCCUAGCAUACUAACCGGCCCCUGGCAAAGGUCAGCCUGCCCGGAAUAAGGAACUACCCACAGCCAGGAAAGCUGCUGUUUUUCCCCACUGGGGGAGCACCAGGCCCUGGAGAGGCUGCCAUGAAGUGGGUGCCCUGUGAAGAUUCCAGACUCAGAGAAGACAGCCGGCAUCACCACAGGACUGAGAGCCAAAGUUGUGUCUUCUGCAGAGGAUUAUAUCGCCUAUGUGCCAGGUGACUAUUCAUAAAGCAGUCUUACCAACCUAGAUACUCUUCAACAGAUGAAUGGAUAAAGAAAAUGUGGAUUAUUACAAUGGAUUAUCACUCAGCCUUUAAACAGAAUAAAAUUAUGUCAUUGGAAGAAAAAUGGGUGGAAUUUGAGAACAUUAUGUUAAAUAAA